AGACAUGGUUUGAUCUGCCACAAUGACUUGGUAAGAAAGAUCUUCUGACACUAACAAAAGCCAGAGCCAUCACAAUGGUAAACGGCAAGAAACAUUAUGUGACAGCAAUAAAAGGCAAGUCAAAUCUACAGUAAAUGUUUUGUAUAUGAAUACAUCAAAAACUGUAUUAACUUGUGUUAAAGUGCAGCAUGAAUCUUUUUUCUAGAAAAUCACUGCAUUUCUAAACAUGUUCUUCUAUUUAUUUCUUUGCAUGACUCUUUCCAACUUAAUGCUAUGGUUUGAUCUGCCACAAUGACAUGGCAAGAAACAUCAUGUGACAGCGAUAAAAGGCAAGUCUAAUCUGAAUAUUUUUUUAGAUGAAUACAUCACAAAAACUGUAUUGUUUUAAAUUGCAAAAAAUCUCUAUUUCUGAACAUGUUCUUCUCUGUUUUUUCUUUGCUUGACUUUUUCCAACUACAUGCCAUAAUUCGAGCCAUCACAAUGGUAAGCAGCAGAAGCUUGAGUUGCAAUUAUUGGUAAUUGAUUCAUACUUGAACAUUCUGCUACUUUUAUGAUGUCAUAAACUUGAACAGUAGUCACUGUGUAUCUUGUGUUUAACUAGAACAAACGAGAUCUGUCUAUACAUUAAAAUAAAUAUCUAUAAAAUUACAAGAAUACAACAACAAUUAUUGACGUGUUCAAAUUAAUUUCACCAAAAAAACAAUUUUUUUUCUGAAAAGAAUCUCUAAAUCAUGUUCUUUGUUUUUUUCUUUGUAUGAUUCUGUCCAACUACAUGCCACGGUUUGAGCCGUCACAAUGGUAAAUGUGAAAGAUCAUGUGACAGCAAUAAAAAGUCAGUCUAAUCUGAAUGUUUUAUACAUGAAUACAUCAUAAAAUUGUAUUAUCUUGUUUUAAAGUGCAAAAUCACUGUAAAAUUUUGAACGUGUUCUUGCACGUUUCUUGUUUUGCAUUACUCUUUCUGUCUACAUGCCAUGGUUUGAGCCGUCACACUGGAAAACGUGUAAGAAAGAUCAGGUGACAACAAAA